AUGAGGUGGAAACGGACAGAGCUGGCGUAUCUGGUCUGCAUUCACCCGUCUGUUGUUGGACGUUGGGCUUCCUGCCUCCAGACUGGGGUCGGUUGUCUUUCUGUUCAGCGGCUGAUGGGGCAUUUGCAGGUGGAGUGCGCUGAGAUGCUCGGGGUAGCUGCGUGAACUCGGCUUUGAGGCCAGCCCUUCGGGGUCUGGUACCCGGGUCGGGGGAAUGCUGUUUACUCUGGGUGAGAGUGUGCAAUGGUUUCGGGUCCGUGUUGGUUCGAGCUGAGUGUCGGUGGCGGUCGCAUGCGACACGUACCAGCAAUCAGUUCGGUCCAGCUCGGGCUCUCAUUUGUGCGUUCUCGGUGUAAAAGCCGGUUAUCUGUCCGACCCGUCUUGAAACACGGACCAAGGAGUUUAGCGUAUGCGCGAGUCAUUGGGUGUUGAAAACCCAAAGGCGUAAUGAAAGUGAAGGCAUCCUUGCGGAGCUGAUGUGUGAUCCCUGGCACUGCGGUGUUGGGGCGCAACAUAGUCCCGUCUCGAUCGCAUGCGAUGGGGCGGAGACAGAGCGUAUGCGCUGAGACCCGAAAGAUGGUGAACUAUUCCUGAGCAGGAUGAAGCCAGAGGAAACUCUGGUGGAAGUCCGAAGCGAUUCUGACGUGCAAAUCGAUCG
rnacentral:rRNA from 1 species